rnacentral:piRNA from 1 species
UGCCUUGAAGUGGAAUUUGAUACUGUACAU